rnacentral:lncRNA from 1 species
UUGACGGCUUAGGUGCUAGCCUACUACACUCGACGAGCUCAAAUUCUGUUUUCUUAAUCUUCACUGCAAUGGUAGGUCAACCCACGUCCGUCCGCCGCUGACCUUCCUCAUCAUAAAUUAACAAGAAUAAUAUACUCCACUCUCUCUCUCUCUCUUCAAAAUCCCCAAUUUUUGCAUUUAGGGUUUCACAAAUCGUCAUCUUUGUAAUCAGCGACCGACAUAAUCAAGCAUUGCGAAGAGCUUAAUUGCAGUUGUAAGGAGAAUUACGAAGCGGGAUUUGCGAUGCCGCGAAGAUGAGAGGAGGGGUACGACGACGAGAUGAUAACGGCGGAGAUUGCAUUUCAUUGAUGAUUUGCCAGAGGAAGACCAUGAUGAUGAGGAUUACGGCGGUGGCAGUGGAAAGAGGAAUGCAAAGAAGAGGUCGGGGUCUCAUUUUUUUGAACUUGAAGCUGAAGUUGAUAGUGAGGAAGAAGAAGAUGAGGAGGAAGGCGAAGAUGGUCAGAAUCUCAUUCAGUUUAUUUUGUGUGAAUUGUUACUAAUAUUUGAAAUUUACUUAAUUAUACGUAUCAUUCACCAUCAUUUACUGUCGGAAUUUACAGUUAGUGUUUUGCGGAAUAUUUGUGUGCAAAACUGGUGAUAUUUGGUGGAAACUUUGGAUAAAUUUUUAAGCUUUAGGAUUUUUUUCAGGAAUAACAAUAUGUUGCAUAGUUUGAUAGGAGAACAGUGUGCAUGAGUUUUAUAUGGGUUGAUGAUGUUGAUUGUCCAUCGAAAAUUUUAUUUUUUUCCCUUUGGGUCUAUACUUUUUUCUUGAAAUUGAUGUCAUAUAAAAUUUUUCGAUGGUUUUUGAGCAUCUUCCGCUAUGGAUUGAAAUGGGGCAGAAAAAUUUUGGUGGUUUUUUGUGGAUCUGCAGCUAUGGAUGAAAUGUUACAUGUAAUUAAUUGAGAUUAGGCUGGUUAGUGGACUGGUAAAAUGUUUAUAGUUAAACGCUUUGUUGUUAGUAAGUUGAAAUAAGGUCUGAACAUUUGUCCUGUGAAUCUGAAAUACAAUCAGAGUGAAAGGAAUAUUAGCAGCUUAGGAUUUCGGUUUAGAAAUUUAAAAUUUGUUUUCUGGUACACUGGAAAGCCAAUGUAAUGUCUUGUAUUGUUGUUUUCCAGCUUAUCAUUCUAUUGUUGGCUUUUCUGAGAAAGCAGUUUACAACAUUUUGAAACUUGAUGUAUGAAACUCAAUGAGUGGAUGUGGGUAAGAAAUUUGUCAAUUGAAUAAAGAUGGAGAAAGGAAUAUGUGAGCUUUCUCUGACUCUGCUGUCCAUGAAUUGGCUUUCCUCCAUAACGUACAGUGAUUGCAAUGUGAGUUUAAGUUGGAUAGAUUCUGUUUCUUCACCUCAUUAGAGUUUCAAACCAAUUUGGGUUGUGUUCUAGUAUUGAACUUUACAGAAUAAUCUCGGCACAUUGAAAUUUAAGUGUAAAGCAUGUCCGCUAACAAUAUUUGAGAAUUGAAUUUGUAGUUAGAUCUAUCUUAGUAUGUAGCUGAUGCGUGCAUUUGGUGUUGACUCAUUGCAAAUUAUCAAUCUUCUAGGGUGAUACACAAUGGUUAUUCAUUGCAAAUUGACUCAUAUGUCUUUUUGCUACUUGCGUUAGGUGGUGUUCAUAAAAACGGCUGUAGGAAGCAUGACAGUUGAAGUGCCAGAGGACAAGCUAAGGAAGUAUAUGAGUUGAUUCGAGUACCAAGAUUGGUUAAAAAGAGUAAGAGCAACAACUGCAGUUACUUUGUUAUGUUUUUUGUUUGAAAUCAGCUUUAUUGUCACAUUCCUUUCACCAGUGACGCUAAAACUGCAUGUAUGUUGUUAACUGUUCUGAUUGUUAUCGAGAAUAAUUUUUUUCAAUUGCUAUCUGUUAAAUGAGGCAAGAAAUUGGCUUACUUGAAAUGAAUUAGAUAGCCAAGUAGGUACACACACAGUUAACAGGAAUAAACUACCUCAAUGCAGUGACAGUGGAAUUAUUGGUUUCAGUCAUCUGAUGUCAACUAUAUCUGAUGUGAAAAGCUUCACCAAUGAUAUGGUUUCGCUGACAUUAGUAGCAGUACAUGAUAUGGCAAUCGCAAGAGCUGGACUAUAAUGAACAUGUGAAUUAUAUGAUUUAGAGAGCAAGGAGGUGAUUUGAGCAGUCCGCAUUUUAAGGUUAGCUACUCGAUCAGAUGGAUUGAUCAAUAUCUGUAUUUUUAUCAAUUGUCGUACAAGAGUUUAAAAAAAUUUAGAGCAAACGCACCAUAUGAAAAGUUGUUUGGAGAAGCAAAGUCUUGAUGUCAAAUUUUUAUAGCUCAGAACAUAAACCAUAAGCAAGUGGCAAAACUGAAUGUAAGAGCAACUAAGCAACUGAAUUUUGAUUUCUCCUUCUCACAAAUAAGGAAGUAUUCAUUAAAUUUUUAAUUCAAGAAUAUCAUCAAGAAUAUCUUGAUUAGAAGUUUCUAAUGCUGCCAAAGUGAGACUAAGGUAGCUACUAAGCUGAAUAACCUGUGGGAGACAAUUUUUUAAAAAGAUGGAAAAGCUAAAAGCUAAAAGUCUGUACUCUUGUGUUCCCGAGAACGUUGGAUAAAGUUCCUGUACAUACCAAUGCGAGACAGAGAGAAUAAAAGCAAAACUCUCAAGAGUCUAAUCAGUGGAUGAUUGAUUGAUUCAACAUCAUUUUUACACAGUUGGCAUAUGUCAGCAUUAAGAAGGUGCCCCUUGACUCUGUAUUUCAACAAGUUAUUGUUAAGUGAUUGUUGGGCUAUGUCUUCAUAAGUUUCAAUUGCCUUUGGAUAUCUGCAGGGCAUUAUGAGUAUCAGUUUUAAAGACACACACACACUAAAUCUUGUGUAUAGGGUAAAAACAAAAAGUCUUAUGAAGUAAUCUUAGUUUAGCUGGCACUCAGUCUUCCUAACCUUAAAUCUUUAGUACCAUCUUUUCAUUUCUGCAUUUACUUUUUAGUUUUCUUGACAUAAGCAAAUUGGGCAAUUUUCUGUUCCCACUGAUUUGCAGUGGUGUUGAUACCUUCACUUUGGAAAAGAUCAGCUGCUCUCUCAUAGUAGACAAUGGUCUGCUCCAAAUUCUCUUCUUACUCAUAUAGUUCAGCAAUUUCUUAGAUUCAAAUAAAGGAAUCAAUAGCUAACACUCAAAAGGAAACAUAGAUUAAGAGAUAAAAGCAGAUAUCACAGCCAUCAUGGCAUGAUAGACAGUAAAUAUAUAGCAUCGUAGGUUAUGAGUUCUGAUAAGUUGACCAAUAGUCUGUACGUAUUGAUGUUACAAUAUGUCGAAAAACUUUACAUGAGACAUGAAAACUUUACAUAUGAAUCACAAAAGUAUCAAAUCUAUCUAAAAGACAUUCUGUUCUUUCAGAAAAGAGAAAUGAGCUUCAAGAAUAAGAUGGACGAUGACUACAGAGGCAAAAGAUAUUUUAUUUAGGUGAAGUGACAUAGAUUGCACCUUGUAGUAUCUUGUGGACAUAUUGAGCCUUGCAAUUUCCAAGAACAAAUUCACGGACUGCUCCAAGGAAGAUAUAGACUGUGUGAAGAAUAAAAUUAUUAGCCAUCAACAGUUCGUAAAAUAAAAGCUCUAUAAUCUAAGUGAAAAGAUGAUGGCUUAAAUCCCAAAAUGGGAUUGGAUGAAAAUCAGAGGAAGAAAGGAACAAGAAUAUCAAAACAGAUAAAAGCUAGGCUGGAAAUUAGGAUUAAAAAUAAAUUUCAUUGCAUUUCUUAAGUGCGGUUGAAUUUGCAAAGAUGAGAUUUCUUUAGUGCGGUUGCAUUUCUUUAGUAGCGCUUAUUAGCAAAAAAAGAUGGGAUAAAAUUGGCUGAUGAAGAAACCAACUGAUAAUAUGAGAAAGAAAGCAGGCAUAGGAAAUAAAGUUUAAGACAAUAUUUAAUCUACUUUUUUGGUGUUGAAGUAUGGACAAGUUCCUAAAAACAUCAUGUAAUCAAUAACUAAAAACUAAGACUGAUCUUCAAUUUAAGCUGAAACAAUCAGCCACCAGAUGAAUGAUUGUAUUGAGUGAUAACUGACAGCUGUAGUCUGAGCUCAAACAAUGUGUCAAAACUGGUAAGAGACCAAACCUUUAAUGUUUGUCUUCUUAUAGCAAUGAGUGGCAUCAGCAUAAGCAUUUGCAGCUUCAUGUUUGCUAUCCAACUGUGAUAUCAAAAUUACGAAAUUUGGUACAGCAAACGAGAACAGCUACAGAAUUGAUACACAAAAAUAGGAGGUAGAUAAAUCCAAGCAAUCAACAACUUUCGAAUACUUACCUUCAGAUGACAACUUGCCAACUUGACAUACAUAGCUCAAGCUUGAUCCCCUGAAAGACCCCAAAAGUCAAAACUAAUGAGAAACAGCAGCAGAAUUCAGCUUAAUAAAUUUACAUACUCUGAGUCAAUAAAUGUUAGUCAGGAAUUACAAAUCACAAUUAUCAGCCACUUCAAGAAUUUGAAAGGCUUGAUUUCCAUUUACCAAAUAUGAAAACAAAGAGAAGGAGUGGCAAGUAAUGUUAACAUACAUCAAGGGUAGGGAAUAUACCCUUUUACAAGUUUGGGGAAGCAAAAGUAUGCACUUAAUAGUUAGAGAGUUAAAAGUUGACCAACUUAAUAAUUAGAGAGCCAUCCAAAAUUUUUACCCUCUGCUUUUUUAUACAUUGGAAAUUAGAGAAUGAAUAAAUGAGAAUUGAAUUGUCACAUACUUGCUAAGGAGAGUUUGAAUGUCUUUUAUUUAAAGUGGCACAUAGAGAAGAAAUAAAGGAGAACUGAGUAUGCCAUAUACUAAGAAAAGUCAAAUGCAUUUAAGCUAAAGUGGCAAUUGAACAAAGGUUAGUCUAUAGUGAUAAAAUCAAAAGUUGAGAUUUGGGGGUAAGGCUAACAAAGAUGAACAUUUGUGGUUGUUGAGGAAGUCUCCUUAAAGUUACGGUUGAUACUCUGGAAUCACGCAUUUUAGGUUUGACAGUAGUUCUUUUAUUUUUGAUAAUCAAUCAGCAUAAAUAGUUUCCUUUGGAUCUGUGUGGGAGACAUUUCUUUCAGAAUUUUGAUUACAUUUCUUUCAGCAUAAAUAGCUUGGUGUUCAUUGUUUACAAGGUCAAAUGCUAUUUGAAGUUGCCAAUAAAGCAUUAAUUUUGUCUUCUGUUCUUAAUAGUUUGUCAAAUACAGUAGCAGUGUCUUUUGGUGUAUCCAAAAGCAUGAGAAGCUGACAUAUGCUUAAACAAUCAGGCAAUGGCAGUUUUUGCAUCUACAUUCUUUAGAAUUUGGAAUAAGGUUAACAAGAAUGAAUUACAUUGAUAUAAUUACCUGAUGCUGAUAUUUUCUAGAGGUGAUAAAAUUGCGAGAGACAUCACUACAAUUGUGUUGGUUAUAUACCUACAGGGAAACUGAAAAAUGAGAUAAUGAGAAAAAGUUGAAAACUGUAGUGUAAUCUAGCGUUUCAGAAGUUUAUAUACAUGCAUGUACAGCUUUAGUUAAGACACAAAAUGAUAUAGUAGGAAAAAAUAAGUAAUAAGUUGAUGUGAUGGUUAAAAAGAAAUGCAUACUUAAGUUAUAUAAGGUCAAUGGCACUUUACACUCCAAGAUUAGAAGUUAUUCAACCAUGAUUUAUUUUGUUAUAAGUACAAUACAUAAUGAUAUCGAACAAAUUUAGAAGGCAGAACUGAACAAUAAUAUAGCACCUAGAAUAGUUCAGAGAUAAUCUAAAUCUGCUGAUAUAUUGAAUAGAAGCUCAAGUCCAAAGGUACAGAACAAUGAGUGAUUUAGUUCAUCUAAAUAACAAAAGAUCUGACAGGGGAAACAGAGAUUUGUUAUAAAUAAUGAAAGAAUAUGAGAGCAAAAGAACUUAGGCUUCCUCUUCUUGAAAUGCAUUAUACAUAAGCUGGUAAAAUGACUAAUAUAUUAAUGAAGCAGAUGAGUACUCUGUAGAAGUGAUGUUUAAAAGAAAAGUUUAUAAGGAUUUGGAGUUUUAGAUCUCAACCUGGGAUCAUAGUUAUUGCUUUUAGAGAAUUAGAGAUACAGGAAAAGCAUCUUUGAAUCUUUGAGGCUAGUAUUGCAGCUAGUUGUCUCUGAGCCUCAUCAAACUCUUCAUCUUUAUAUACAGUCUCACUGCAAAAUGAUAAACACUGAGCAAUGAAUUUUUUUAAUAUAGAAUUACGAGAAUGAGUAAUAUUAAUUCAUAAUCAGUGUUCUGUACGUACAACUACAAGAACCAGUAAUGUUAAUACGUAAUGAAUUUUCUGAAUAUAUAACUAUAAGAAUGAGUAGUAAGAGCAAUAUCAUGAGAGUUUAGCAAUAACUAAUAUUGGGGUAUAAAAAAGAUACUCUGUGAACAAAAGCAGUAAUUACUUGUAUGAGUUGUAAGAAAAAGGUCAACCAAGACAUUGCAACAACAAAAAUGGCCCUGAUGAGAGGAGAUCAAAUGUAAUGAACACUAACCUUUGUUUUUUGAAUAUCUCUUAAGGACAUUUGUCAUUAUUUGCAUUAGCAAUGAAGCAUAAGCUUUACUUAAUGCUAUAUCUUAAUACAAGAAUUUUCUUAUUACAUAUACUGAGACAUCAAUUGGCUGAAAAAUUGAAGCAGUAUUGAAAAAUAAGUAUUUUUUUACAAAAAAGUUAAGCAUGAGUUGUCAGUGAAAUCUGGUAAGUAUAAAAGCAAGUGAAAUCUGCAGCAGUGCACAACAAAUAAUUGGGUGUUAAGCUUUGAUUAGUGCAGAUAUAUAGCUGUGUAGAAAAGGUAGGGGCAAUAAAUGUAAUGAAUAUGAAUCUCACACUCUUAUAAUCAACAAUUAUGAAAGGUGAUGAUUUGCAAGCUGUAAAAUAUCUUUGUAUACUAUGUUAUUGGUAGCAUAGUCAACUGUUGGAUCAAAGGGAGAAGGCUAUAUAAGAAUCUUUACACAAUUGCUGCUUUUUGCUCUUGAUAAAGCAACAUAUAGUUGGCCAUGUGAAAAAACUGGUUCACGUAAGUAUAUACCAACAAAAUCUAAAGUUUGACCUUGAGCUUUAUUGAUUGUCAUUGCAAAGCAUAGACGCACUGGAAAUUGAAUUCUUUCAAAUGACAUCGGGCAAUCAGGAUUAUUUUCUAUUCGGAAACAUAUUCUAUGCAAAAAGACUUGUUUGCCUUUGAAUUCUCCAGCACUUAUAACUGCAUCAAUAAUAUUGUUAGUCAAAGAUUUACAUAUUAGCCUUGUUCCAUUGCAUAAACCUUCUGGGGGAUCAAUGUUUCUGAGAAGAAUUAUUGGGCAAUUUGGUUUUAGGAUAAGGUUGUGGGGGGGAAAACCAUUGGGUGUUAAGCUGUUGAGAAAAUCUUCAAAUAGGCCUUGUUCUGAAAUGUCAAGUGUUUUAUCACGACUAAUAUAUUCUUGAGCCUCACCUGGAAAAAUGUUAAUUAACAAGUUGUUUAACACAUCAACAAAUUCAUUUUUUGUAGUAAGGAUUGCUCGAUUUACCAAUGAAAAAUCAUCCUUGGAAAAAGCACUUAAAUCUGGGUAAACUGUUUUGAUAAGUUCAAAAAUUGAUUCUGUUUCACUUUUGUAUGGUAUUAGCAGUGGGAGAGGAAUUUUUACUUUUAACCCUUGUAUUGCUGGUUCUAGUCCAUUUCCUAUUCGGAGAAGGUAAUCUGUAAAUUCUGGGUCUGAUAUUGCUCUCAUAUUAUCUGUGAGGUAUAGUUUGUGAAGCUGUGGCCAAAUGUAUGAAGUUACUAAGCUAGCUUGUACAAAAUCUUCCUUUGAACCUUUAGUGACAACAGGGAGAACUUGUCUAAAGUCACCACCAAAAAUCAUAACUUUUGAGCCAAAUAACUCAGGAGAACCCAUUAAAUCUUUUAGUAGUGCAUCCACACCUUCUAUACCAGUUUUGUGUGCCAUUGGAGCUUCAUCCCAAAUAAUAAGUUUAGCCGCUUGAAUUAGUUUAGCAAGUGCACUUUGUUUACUAAUUUUACACAUAUUGACUGAAUUCAUAUCAAUUGGAAUCUUGAAUCGAGAGUGCGCUGUUCUACCUCCCGGUAAUAUUGAUGCUGCAACUCCACAAGAAGCAGUAGCUAAUGCUAUAAAGCCUUUUGAUCGUACUUCAGCUAAUAACGCUCGAUAAAGAAAUGUUUUUCCUGUGCCACCUGGUCCAUCUAUAAAGAAACAUCCUUUUUCUUUAAUGUAUAAUGCCUGCAUUAUAGUAUCAAAAGCUGCUUUUUGACCAGGAUUGAGUUUAGUAAUUGAUAUCAAGUCAUCCUCUGAAACUUUAAUCUCUGUUUCACUAAUUGUAUCUCUUGCAUCUGUAUUUGAGUCAUGGAAUUUUAGUACUCUUGGCACCAGUCCAUAGCUGUUUAUGUUAAGACCCAUAGACUCUAAAAAAUUGCUUAUUUGAUGCAGAACUUUAAAUUGAAUAUCAUUUUUGGUUAAAUUUGGGACUCUAUUGUAAUCUUCAGACAAUGAUUCUUCAAAUUUCAGCCAUAGGGUUCUUGGAUUUGAGGGGGUAAAAUAUACCAACAAUGUUGCGAACAACCUUCUUAGGCUAUAUGGCAUAUGAUAAAGGGCAGCUUCUUCUAGACAUUGUUCUUGUGAGUUAUUUGAUUCUAAAUAUCCUCUAAGUGCAGCUGCUUCGCGAAAUGUAGUAACAUGUACUCCAUUUACAGUUUUUAAAUCAUCAUAAGAAGUUGGACUUUUAACAUGCAGUAAAAGGAGUCUUAGGAAGUACCGUUCACCUUCUAGGGGAUUUGCUGCAACAACUCUGCCGAUAGAAUCUUUUUGUUUUCUAGGUUGCCAAGAUUUGGAACUUGGAUACCACACAAAAUGCUCAGGAAACUCUUUGUAGGUACAUUUGAGACUUUUUGCAAAAUCAUCUGUAGCAUUCAUUCGAAAAAAUUCGGUGAGCAUAGUUCUUUUUGCAAAAUUGUUACUUAAUAUAUUGUCAAGAUUAUCAUUUGGUCGAAACAGCAUAGAUUGAAAGUUUUCUAGGUGAAGCUGAAGUUGUAUUACAGCAGGCUGCAUUUCAUAAAGAUGAAAUCUGUAUAUUCUCCACAUUGCUUCAGGUGCACAUACCCACCGUGCUGACUGAUAUUCUUUGAUUUCAUCAAUAGGAUUUGCUCCAUCAUCUGAAUUCACUUGAAAAUGUAUCCUUGCAUGGCCUUUGUAUAUAUACUUAUACACAUACUUGACAGCUUUAAUUGUGGAGCAAAUUUCUACAUUUAUAUGGCAAUUGAAUUUAGCCAACAGAUAAGCAUUGUAUGGCACUACCCAUCUGUUGUCUAAGUAGUGUCCCCGAACCAAUAUUUUUUUCCCAUCAUUUCUUCUUCUGUAUGUUGGAUACGAAUUCUGAGAAUGUGUAGUUUUUUCUGCCCAUGCUUUUGGGUAAUUGUUCUUGCAAGACUUCUUUGAUGCACCCUGCAUACAUACAUUAUCAGGUUUUUUCUCGCCACAUGGUCCAUGCAUCAUAUGUUUCUUGACCAUUCUAAACAGAUGCUCAUUUUGUGCUUCGUCGGGUAUUUCUGCAGAAACUAUACGAUCAUAAUCUUCUGUUGUAUAUAAUUUGAAAGUAGGCUUCAGGAUAAUCAAAAAGUGCGCAUGAGGCAAACCGCGUUUUUGAAAUUCUAUAACAUAAGUAUAUGCUGCUACUUCUCCAAAUAUUUGCUUCUUGAACAGCUCUUCUUUCAUAAUUUCUAACUUUGCAUGAAACACACGAGCAAUAAGAUCAGGCCUAUUUUGUGCUUCAUCUGAUUGUAACAGAUUUUCUUUAAUCUCUGGCCAUGAUUGAUUGCAAGUCAUGGUUAUAAAAAGAUCUGGCUUCCCAAAUUUCUGAACUAAAGCCAUAGCAUCAAGAUACCUUUUUUUCAUAUCUCUAGGACCUCCAAUGAAUGAUGUAGGCAAUAUUACUCGCUGUCCGAUUUGAAAUCCAUUUUGUUGCCCCUGUAUUACGCUGUCCAUAAUUCCUUGUAGCUGCUCUCGACGUAUUUGCUGUUGUCGACUUCGAUAAAAAUCUAGUCUUUGUGUCUCUAUUUUAACAUACAUGUCAACUGAAUAUUGUUGCAAAGCUCUUCCAGCAUUCAAAAUAUUUGGCCCAAUUUUUUUCCUCAUCUGAAAUUUAUAUGCAUAAUACUCUCUCAUGGAUACAUAUUCCUUGGAGUUUUCAUAUGCCUUGUAAGCUGUAAAAUUUAGAAUAUUUGUCAAAGAAGAGAUGACUGCAAUUGAAUACAACUAUACAUAAUGAAUGGUAUAAAUGUGUUACCUUCUUCUUCAAGAUCAAUCAUUUCUUCUGGUGACUUAAAGCUAGACAAUGUAGCUGUACAUGACUGUUUCGUAGUCUUUCUUUUGCGCUUUUUUGGAUUGCCUCUUCCUGAUCUUUGUAUACCUGGAUGCCAUCCAGUUUCUCCAAAUGGAAAAAGUAGUGGAUACUGAAGAGGGUCAUAACAGCCGUAGUAGUAUUGAAUGCGGUGACUGUGUCCUUCUUUUGUAUAUAUCUGUAUGUGUCUAGAAUAACCUUGAUUAGCAUUGUCUCCUUCAACCCAUAAAGCUGCAACUUGAGAUACAGUGGGUUUAUUAAACACUCGCUGGUCGUUGUCGGAGUGAGAUUUUAAUACUAUUUGAUAUGAGUCCAGGUUUGGAACAUUUCUCAAACUCCUGAAGAAGCAAGCAUAUGGAUUGUCUUUCAUUACUUCCAUUAGCUUCACUACAAUUCUUUCGGUCAGCCUUUCUGAUAUUGCUAAUCGAUUCUGAAUUCCAUGUUCUGUGUCAUGGAAAUAAAGCUGAAGAUACAUCCCUGAUCCUCCAUGCGGUAUUAGUUCAUUGAUGAAAUGGUGUGUUUGACCUUGUAUCUUGAAUGUAUAGAUUCCGUUAGUUCUCUUGCAAAGGGAUUUGUCAUAGUGAACACCAAAGGAAGUAAAUGCAAACAUGCUAUUAUAGGUCCUAACAUAGGUUCGGAAAUGUAUAGCUUCUUCACUCUGUCCAGUAAAAAGUUCAAUUAAUAUAUCAGGUAACUUAUUUUCAUGGAGUAGAACUUCGCCAUCAGAACAGCAAAAGUUUGCUGUCUCUGAGUAGAAUUUUUUGGCUCCACAAUAUUUACAAUCUGAUGCAUCAGGGAGAUGGUCUGCAUUAUGGCUAAUGAAAUUCAGAGCCUCUACACCAGCUGCAUUUUUAGAUACUGUAGAAUAAUAGGAAUACAAAGCAUUUUUAUCACUAUGUUAUGUGCAUAUGAAAGAACUAUAAAUAAAUAUAUAGGAAUGACACCUUUGUUUUGCACUCAUACCUGAUCUCCUUUGGCUUGAGCUUUUGCCUACAGAACAAUAAUGUGGCUAGUCAGGAGGUAAAAACGAUUAUGCUCCUGAUCAGAGUAUAUAACUUCUGCAACAUUUUCAGAUACAUUUUAGUUAUACAUACCUUUUGGAUGAUUUUUUAUGGCAUUAGAAACAUUGGUUUCCACUGACUGACUGCCAACUGUCAUUGAUAUACCUGAUUAAGCAAAUAAGAAUGUGUGAGAACGUAAAUCAAAUUCAGUGACCAAACAACACUGGACAAAUAUUUGUAAAAUUAGGAUCAAGGAGUUCAACCUGCAAGAUCAUCAACUAUUUCAUGCAAGAAAUUAGAGCAGCUAUCACAUAUAGGAGGAUCAUCUAGCAGAUAAAAGCAUAGAAAUUGUUAUAUGAAACAUAGACUGAUAACUAUGAUUAUAACAAAAUAUACCUGACACAUUUAGUUUAUUGAUUCUUCUGCAUUUAUAGAUGGGCAACUUUUUUGAUGAAGAACCUAUAUGAACAAAACAUACCUGACACAUUUAGUUUAUUGAUUCUUCUGCAUUUAUAAAUGGGCGAACCUAUAUGAACAUAAGAUAAAAUAAUACAUUAUAAACAUAGAAGAACAAAAAAUAUCUAUGUUUAAAUGUCAAAAAUUGCUUGUAUAAACAUAGAAUACAGAAACAAUUUGUGUAGAUUGCAUUGGUUUUAUACAGAGAAUUACUUUUGACAGCUAUAGAUUGCUGCAGAUUAGAUUAGGUGUUCCUUCACAUCCUUUAGAUCCUUUAGCUUAUCAGUUGGUUCUCGUUUAGAUCCUUCAAACUUUCAAUUUUUUACCAGUCUGCCAUACUCCAUCUAUGUGUUUCUCAUAAGCAAGUUUAAUAUCCGUUGGUAAUUAGGUAAAAAAAAUUUUUUUUUUGGGGAAUUCUUGAAUAGUGCAUGCAUGAGAAGUAGCUAAAAACUGCUUAUCCACUAUGUUAUUGUUCUUUUAUUGUUGUUUUCAGCUUGCCUCUUGAUUUAGCAUCGGUUACAGCUACGGAUUGCUGCAGAUUAGUUUCUUUGUCUCCACCCUGUUGUAGAAGCUGUUUAAUAGCAAUACUCUGUUGGUUAUUGUGCUCAUUAUUUUGCUGUAAGUUGCACCCAACUGGAAGUUCUUUUUCCUAGAAGUAUUUUUUUUAAAAUUUAGUAUUAAGGCAACAAAACAGAACACUCAAAAACUUCAGAAGUAACUUUUUCUCCUCUUUAUUUAUCAAGAAAGUAAUUUAGAAGUAUGAGUGAGUGAUUGUAGCUUGUUUUUCUGAUCGUUAGUUGUUUUCCUUUGCAUCCUUUAGAUCCUAUAGAUCCUUUAGCUUAUCAAUUGAUUUUUGUUUAGAUUCUUCAAACUUGUCCUUUUUUUCCAGUCUGCCAUAACUCUAAAAAUUUGUUUUUGGGAAAUUCUUGAAUAGUGCAUGCAUGAGAAGUAGCUAAAAACUGAAUCAGUUACCAUUAGUAGCUUUCCUUGCUUUCCUCUUUUGAUAAGCUUCUCUCUGUUUAGCUUGACAAGCUUCUUUUUCUUCCACUGAUAAGGAAGCAUAUUUUUCUCUUGAUCUUCGGUUGCGAAUAAUGUUCUUAUUCGUUGAAUGUGCAAGUGGAUCGGAUGAAGCCAUGGUUUACAGUUUAUAGCAUGAAUAAAGGAAGCAAAAGCUAGCGGAUGAGUUGAAAAUACAUGCAGUUGUAGAUAUACAAGCAUCACCGAUAGAACAGGGAGAAGAGAUGGCUCAAUUUUCUAGUCUACAACAGCAAAAGUAAAAAGCUACUGUAAAAUGACUCUGUUAGACAUCAGCUGAAAAUAUAUAGUCUAUUCAAUGACUAUUUUGAGGGAGGAAAAUGUAAUUAAACAAGACAAUGAGCUGGCUGAUAGAAAUAAACAUCAUAUCUCAUUAAUGCUGCAC